CCGAGGGGUGGCACAUCUGUGGAGCUCAGAGAGUGGCAGGAGAAGGGCCCGGAGCCAAGCCGGCUGUGCUGCCCCAUCGCCCUCCCACGGGCCGGGUUGAGCAGGCAUUUCCCAAAAGAAGGUCACCCUGACUUCAAAGGGAAGACCAAGGCACCGCACGAUGCCGGAAGAUGAAAGCAAACGAGUCGACGGGGCCGUGAUUUAUAACCCGGCGCUGGGAAGGGCUGCAGAAAGCUGCCAGCAUCCUGCCGCCGCGCCGCUCCUUCCUGCUACAAAGCUGCAGUGUCUCCUGGUGGAGACGGGCAGCCUGGGGCACCGCGUGCUGCCGCUGGGAGAGCCCGCUUUGGGAGGCAGCUCAGAUGCUGAGCGACGCUUCCGGAGGUUCUCCUGGGCCACAGCAGCUCUCCCGGGAGCUGAGGGCAUCCCACCAUCACCAUUUCCACUCUUUGGGAGCCCAGUCUGCAUCCUUAAUGCCCAGCGCACCCAGGUCAGACCCCAUGCACGCGCACGGUCCUGCUGCCGCCUGCCAUGUGCAGAGCAGAGCCCAUACGCAGCACUGGGAGCCCGUCCUGCCGGGGCUUGGCUAGCCCCACGGGUUGCAGCAUUGGGCUUCCCAAAAAACCCACGGGCUUCCCAAAGGCAGCCCCCCUGAACGCCCAUAGAGCCAUCCCCACCCAAAGGGCAAAGCCUGGAGGGACACGGUGCUGGAUGGCGGAGCUGGGCAUCACUGACGAGUGGGGAGGAGGAGGGGGGUGUAAAUGAACGGCUGCCAAAAAAGAAAGAAAGAGGAGACUACUUAGCAAAGGGCGUAGAAAACUUUAUUGUGGACAGAGCUAAUAAAGAGCUCCAUACGUAA